rnacentral:rRNA from 1 species
AUUGAACGCUGGCGGCAUGCCUUACACAUGUAAGUCGAACGGCAGCACGGGUGCUCGCACCUGGUGGCGAGUGGCGAACGGGUGAGUAAUACAUCGGAACGUACCUUAUCGUGGGGGAUAACGCAGCGAAAGUUGCGCUAAUACCGCAUACGCCCUGAGGGGGAAAGCGGGGGACCGUAAGGCCUCGCGCGAUUAGAGCGGCAGAUGUCUGAUUAGCUUGUUGGUGAGGUAAAAGCUCACCAAGGCGAUGAUCAGUAGCUGGGCUGAGAGGGCGAUCAGCCACACUGGGACUGAGACACGGCCCAGACUCCUACGGGAGGCAGCAGUGGGGAAUUUUGGACAAUGGGGGCAACCCUGAUCCAGCAAUGCCGCGUGAGUGAAGAAGGCCUUCGGGUUGUAAAGCUCUUUUGUCAGGGAAGAAACAGCAGCUCUAACACAGUCUGCGAAUGACGGUACCUGAAGAAUAAGCACCGGCUAACUACGUGCCAGCAGCCGCCGUAA